GUGCCAGCAGCCGCGGUAAUACGUAGGGUGCGAGCGUUGUCCGGAAUUACUGGGCGUAAAGAGCUCGUAGGUGGUUUGUCGCGUUGUUCGUGAAAUCUCACGGCUUAACUGUGAGCGUGCGGGCGAUACGGGCAGACUGGAGUACUGCAGGGGAGACUGGAAUUCCUGGUGUAGCGGUGGAAUGCGCAGAUAUCAGGAGGAACACCGGUGGCGAAGGCGGGUCUCUGGGCAGUAACUGACGCUGAGGAGCGAAAGCGUGGGGAGCGAACAGGAUUAGAUACCCUGGUAGUCCACGCCGUAAACGGUGGGUACUAGGUGUGGGUUUCCUUCCUUGGGAUCCGUGCCGUAGCUAACGCAUUAAGUACCCCGCCUGGGGAGUACGGCCGCAAGGCUAAAACUCAAGGAAUUGACGG
rnacentral:rRNA from 1 species